UCCGAUAUGGUGUAACGGCUAACAUUGCCGCCUUUCAUUCCUUUGAUCGCGGCAGCUCGGGGUUCGAUUCCCCGUAUCGGAA
rnacentral:tRNA from 1 species